CUGGUGGACGCUAGCGGCGGAUGGGUGAGUAACACGUGGGCAAUCUGCCCUAAAGACUGGGAUACCACUUGGAAACAGGUGCUAAUACCGAAUAACAACAUGAAUAGCAUGAUUCAAGUUUGAAAGGCGGCGCAAGCUGUGACUUUAGGAUGAGCCCGCGGCGCAUUACCUAGUUGGUGGGGUAAAGGCCUACCAAGGCGAUGAUGCGUAGCCGAGUUGAGAGACUGAUCGGCCACAUUGGGACUGAGACACGGCCCAGACUCCUACGGGAGGCAGCAGUAGGGAAUCUUCCACAAUGGACGCAAGUCUGAUGGACCAACGCCGCGUGAGUGAACAAGGUCUUCGGAUCGUAAAGCUCUGUUGUUGGUGAAGAAGGAUAGAGGCAGUAACUG
rnacentral:rRNA from 1 species